rnacentral:sRNA from 2 species
UCGUCCCCACGCAGGAAAAGCAACAGGAACAGGAACACGUCUGAGACUCGUUCCUCUAACGACUGGUUCCAUUGUAUUUUAAACUCCAGCGAGUUGAGGGAAGAUUGAUUUUGUGAAACAGCGGAUGGUAACUCAAGGAUCUAGAGAGCCAUAGACAAAAGUUCCCCUGGAAGCCAAGCAGUUUCCCCUCUCAGUUCCGUUUUUCUCUUGACCCUUGUUCACACUCUCCCUCCUAGCAAGGUGGAAACAGCCAAGGAAAGGAAAGGUUUUAACAAAUAUGUUGGAACUCAGCUGCUUCGAGAUGUCCGAUGCGGAGGUACCAUGUUCUUGGGUAAAAGAUGUAAGAAGUCAGGAGCAAGAUCGAGCGUCUGUUUAGGAUCCAUGGGACAAUUGGAACUUUGUUAGCGACGGAAC